UUUUGUAGGAAAGUUUGAGUGUGAAUGCAAGAAAGUUGAAAAGUGGGUGUGAUUUUUCUUUCCCUAGCCAUACACGUAUCCACCCCAAAUUUUCCACAUCUCUUAUCUCUUUUGCUGCCCCAAAAGUCUUCUCCUUGCCUUAUUUUCUUGGCUGCAUCAGAUCAAAAUUUCAGCCCCUCUUUCCCUACUCUUUUCCUUGUUCUUUGUUUCUUUCUUCUCCCCUUCUUACAUGGCAGCCCUCCCUCUCUCACCAAAGCAAAAUAUCCCUCUCUAAAGAAGAAAUUAAAGAGUUAACACUAAAAUUUCAGCUUCAAAUUGUUGGGGGUGUUACCAGUAUCUAAGUCUAAGCUCCUUCAACUAUAGGCUCUCAGUUCCUCUGCUUUCAAGUAAGGGAUAAGUUAUAUGGGCAUUUGGUUAUGUCCUCUGGUAAUCUGAACUCUGUCAGCAAGGGUUAAUUACUGUCUUUCCAUGGAAAAUGUUAUAUGAUUGGCCAUUAAGUGGGACUGGCUCUGCUGUACCCGCCCCUUGUUAGUUACGGCCAACUUGUGGGGGAAACCAACCUACUCCCAUGGUUGGAAGAUAUGUAUUAUGAUGUGAUCCUGGGAAUACCUGGUAUUGUGGAGAAUGCUGGAUGCUUAGCACCGUGGUGCUAGAAGCCUCCCAAAUAAGUACAAACUUAUUAGAUAUAGGCUAUCCAAUAAGUUAUUUAUGAACAGUUAUAUUAUAUUAUUAAUCAUGAGAGAAUGAUUUUGUUUAAAUGCAUUAUGAAAAGUUAAAAGCUCUCAUGAAAAGAAGUUUCUGAUAAAAAGAAAAGUUGUUCAUUAAAGAUAAAAGUUUCUGAAGUUCUGUUGUACUAUAAAAAUAAAGUUUCUGAUGAAAGUACAAGUUUACGUUUAAAAGUUAUCAGAUAUAUGUUUUUAUGAAACGUUAAGUUUUAUGACCAUGAAAAAUAUAGCAUUUUAUGAGAAGAAGUUUAUAAAGAAAAGUUUUCUUAUUAGUCAAGAUAUUUCUAGUUUAAUACAAAGUUGCCCAUUAUCUGAUUUAAGUUAAAAUAAUUAUUUUGUAAUGAGAAUAUAUAUAUGGCGACUUUGUAGGAAAUGAAAGAAAUUUAAUCCGAAAGGUUUUGGUAAUAUUAAACCGAUAAGAAAAAUGAGAGCAAUUAUUUUCUAUGAAGAGUGUAUAAGCUAUUAUUAUGAAUAGUAUAAAAUACUAUGCAUGAAAAGAUGUUCUCCUGUUCGAAUAUUCAUAGAAUGAAAUGAUUUGAUUUACAUGCAUCCUUAUUGAAUUCUCAUAUAUCUUACAUUUACUGAGCUGUGUAGCUCACCCCUUCCACUCUUUCAGUUAGCAGGUUUUAUUUUGGAGCAGAGGGAGCCUUAGUCAAGUUUUGGAAGGAGCUGGUUUUAGUUUUAUAUGUAUAGAUCCUAAAUUUAGCAAUAUGAUGUUUAGAUUUGUAGUAUUGUGUAUUUUAGGAUCUAAUGAAAGUGUAUACCUUAAAGUAUUAAGAGAUGUAUUAUGUGAAAUUCUGAAUUUGAACAAUUGGUGGAUUAUGUCAA